UCGGGAAUAUUGCGCAAUGGAGGAAACUCUGACGCAGUGACGCCGCGUGCAGGAAGAAGGUUUUCGGAUUGUAAACUGCUUUAGACAGGGAAGAUAUAAGACAGUACCUGUAGAAUAAGCUCCGGCUAACUACGUGCCAGCAGCCGCGGUAAUACGUAGGGAGCAAGCGUUAUCCGGAUUUAUUGGGUGUAAAGGGUGCGUAGACGGGAAGGCAAGUUGGUUGUGAAAUCCCUCGGCUUAACUGAGGAACUGCAACCAAAACUAUCUUUCUUGAGUGCUGGAGAGGAAAGUGGAAUUCCUAGUGUAGCGGUGAAAUGCGUAGAUAUUAGGAGGAACACCAGUGGCGAAGGCGACUUUCUGGACAGUAACUGACGUUGAGGCACGAAAGUGUGGGGAGCAAACAGGAUUAGAUACC
rnacentral:rRNA from 1 species